GUGAGACUCCAUCUCAGAAAAAAAUAUAUAUAUAUACACAUAUAUAUAUAUAUAUGAAAAUAUAUUGUUAAACAGAGUUUAAUGCCUAAAUCAAUGUCAAAAAUAAAUAUUUCAGUACAGCCAAGGAACAAAAUAAUGAUUGUAUAUAUAAGAUCUUUAUCCUCCUAUUAGGAAAAAUUAAAUUGUGUUCAGUAUAGGAUUAAGUGGAAAACAUUACAUGUAUAAUAUUCUUGUCUUUGUGAAAAGAUUGGUGAGCUUUGGAGCAGAAUGAAUUUGGGUUGGAACCUAACACUACUAGAGUGGUUUGGGGAAGUUUCUAAUCUCUUUUAUCUUUACUUGUCUCAUCCAAAUAAAAAUAAAAGCCUACUUCUUUUGUAGGUUUUUCGUUAGAUAAGAUAUAGUAUAUGUUACAGUACUUGGCAGAAACUAGGUGCCCAAUAAAGAUUACCUUUUAUGCUAAUGAUUAUUGUGAUUAAGCGUCUACUCUUUGCCAAGAACUCUAAAUUGAUUACUGUAGAGGGAUACUAUAAUAUUGAAUCUGGCUCCCUGCUCUGAAAAAAAAGCUUAUAUCUUAUUCUAAUAAGAGUUUUAGAGUAAUCUGCAAAGACGUGAGAGCAGUAACAAGUGGACAUGAACAUCAAAGCAUUGUAAUAUAAUGCAAAUUUGCGAUUGGAAUACUUCGGGGAUAAUCCACGAGGAAGAUGUUGACUGAGCAGGAUUAUUCCAAGGGGUGAGGAAGCCAUCUCAUUAGUUGGAGAAUGUUAGAAACCAUGGUAGGAGAAGGACCUAAGAGUCCAAGAGAGGAACCAAACUAGUUCAGUUUGAAGAGAAUGGCUGUGUUUUUUGCAACUGAGUGUAGAGUUAAUGGUUUCUUCAAAUGUCUGCUGGGAUGGAUGUCACACAUGUAUGUCUUAUGAGUGCCUAAUAUAAGUCCCACCUAUUUUCCUUCUCCUUCACUUCCUAACUGUGUUCCUUCCUUAGUAAUCUUCAUCUCAGUUAAGAACAUGACUAUAUUCUUCAGUUUUAAACUUUAGUUUUAUUUUACAUUUUCCUCUCUUCUCUGCCUAUAUCCCCUCAUCUAGCUAAGCCUCUACCUUUAGCUCCGUUCUCUGCAACUCACAUAUGUCCUUUUCUUUCCAUUCCCACAGUCAUAUCCUUGGAGACGCCCUCACACCUAUCACCGGAACCACCGCAACAACUUCAACUUCCUUAUCACUACUACCCUCAUGCAGAAAUGCUGCCCGAUUUGUACAUGCGUUCAUGCCUACUCCUUGUUCAAGCAAACUCUGCAGAUUUCCUAUGGCACACAGGAAAGAAAAAAGAACGAUAAUACAUUCCUAUGUUUGCAUAUCCAAGUUCUCCAAAGUUCAGAGCUAAUUAAUCUUUCCUUUCUUAUUCUCCAUUGCAAACAUUUCUCUUCGUCUCUCUUUGCUUUGCAUCCUUGGAUCUUAAGCUCUGCCCAUACCAGCUAAUUUCCCAAACAUGCCCCACAUCUCUGGCUUCAAAGCUUUGGAUUUUCAGGACCUUGCCUAAAAGCUGUUCUUCCCACAUGUGCUUGCAAGAACUGUUUGCCAUUGAAAGUCCACUUCAGAGUCUACCCCUUAAGAGAAAUCUUCAUAGAUAACCUAUGUCAAAGGAAUAGAUUUAACAGAACUUUAUACUUGAUCAUCCUGUGAUUUAGAAUUAUGCUUGAAUCCACCCUGAGACUUUGAACUCUUCAUGGGCAAAGGGUAAUCCUUAUACAUCUAUGAACUUUCCUCAAAGCAGAGCCCAGCCAGCAUAUAUUACAGGGCUCCUAAAAUUAUACAAGAAACCGUACAAGCUCUAGGCCCGACCAGAGCAGGAUCUGUCUCGUGCAUGUGUGUGUGGGAAGACCUCCCCCAUGGAGGCAACUGGGAGCUCAUCACAAUGGGCAGCUACUUAGCUGGGAUUGCCUAGAUCUGAGUUAAGAUGACUUCACCACAAUAGAAAGAGGCCACAGUUCUUUAGAGCUUACACUCAUCUUGUUAACCCUCCAUGAGUCUUAUCACCUCAAUAUGCAGUGCUGUUGGUAGGCCAAGAGGCUUUCAUUUGACAGGACUGGUGAUGCUUAUAUUGGGUCCGUGGCUUUUCCAUCUGUGGGUAAGUCAGUGGAUCUCAGAAACUUGGCUGGGUUAUACCUGGAGGAGACACCUUAUGAGUUCACCAAUAUGACUGCCAUGUCAGCAUCAGCAGAAACAAAGGCACUAAUUCCAGCAUCUGGUUCUCCUAAGUAUUAUGGAGGAUACCAACAAUGGGAAAAUUGGACCCCUAAUCUGAAACUUCAUCCUCAUUAUUCUGAAUGAACGAAAACUCUUAGAACCACAAAAUAUUGCUGAAAAUGAGCUGGGAGUUGCUGGCAUCUGUUUGAAUAGCAGAACCACCACACAGGCUUUAAAAAGCCUUGAGAAAACCAUUGGUCUCACAGCUGCUGACCUUUAGAAGAGGCUGGAUGCUGAGACUGCAAAGGAACCUCCUGGUCAGAGACAAGAGCCACAGUGCUCAAGUGGCUUUGCAGAGUGAUGCCACAGCUAAUGGCCUCAUUGGCGUGGUCAAAGAAAAUGCGGUAGUUUUCUCUGUGUCUGGGCGAAAUCAGAUUGAGCAUAUAUCCACAAAUAAGCUGGACAUUGUCCAUACAGUGACUCAUCAGAGACUUAUCUCUACUCCCAAGCAAUGCAUUGGAGAGGAUCUGUCACUGGUAAAGGUUUACACCAAUCCCAAAGGCCAACCACAAAACUGUACCUCUCUAGUAGUGCUCUCUGAUUGAAGGUCACAGUGGAUAAAAAUAUUAAUGAAGGUUCACAAACGAAACAAAGCAAAAACAGAAACAAAACCAAAAAACCAGUGGCUUCUAUGCAGUGACCAUGUCCCCUGCCCCAAGCCCUGUCUUGGCUUUGACAGCUGCUGGCCCAGGACAUAGAGGAAGAAAUCAAGGCUCGUAACUUUAUUUUUCUCCACUUUAACCAACCCUUGAAUGCUGAAUUGCAUAAAAGACCUGCUUUUUUAUGUGGCCAAAAAAGUAGUUGUAUUACAUAAAUAAGUACAUCACCAACUAAGUUUCUAUGUAAAAUAUUUUCAAUUCUUGGAGUGUCUUUCCUCUUUUCUCCUAACUAGGCAAUGAGUUAGACAACAUAAGCAACUUAUGAUACAGCCUUUUACUCUAAACCAUUUGAAAUCAGCAAAAUAUAAAGACUGAUUGCAAUAAACCAAAGAAAAAUGUAACAUUACGUUUGAAUGAAUAAAUAGUAGUAUUCUGGUACUCAACAUAGACAAAGAGAUCUGUAUUUUGCCACCUAAUCAUUAUAAAUAGUAAAUAUAGUUCAGUCUCAGUGAGACAAAGAGGGCUAAACUAUAGUGCUCCUGAGAGGUUUUGGUACACAAUCUGGCAAGUGACUAUUUCAUUGUUACAGCCCAUAAUGGGGGUAGUAGAUGUGUGGAUGUGAAGUCAGCAUUUCUCCUGCUGUUGGCACAUGGGGAAGCAAGAUUAAUAGCAUUCUUCUAUUGUUACUGCUCUAGUGGGGAAUUGUCAUAACCAACCACUUGUAACCUAUUACCCCAAAGAGGAUUUUCAACGUAAAACCAAACUGUUCCAUUUCUACAGUACCACAAGGCUGUUUCUAACCACUGACCGUUUGAUUGAACAUAAUUCAAGAAUUUAUUGAAUCAGUUGAAGUAUUCAGUUAUUUUUCUCUACUUAAUGAAGGGAGUUGUCUUUGUGGAAUUUGAGACCAAAGGUGCCUAUUAGUAUAGAUGGUCAGUGCAUGGUGCUAAUAAAAUCAAAUUCAUCAUUAGAGUCUUACGUUACAAUCAUAUAAUGCUUUACAAUUAAAAAGAAAUGCCACAUUAGUGCACUUUGAGCCUUCAUUAAAACUUUGAGAAAUAUCUGAGUCAAGUAUUAACUUCAUUUUGCAUAUGAAUAAAAAAGUCUACAACAACAGGCUGAGAGAAAUUUACAAACUGGUCAAUUAAUGAUCACAUAGUAGUGGAAUGGUAAUGGAAUUGGUACUUCUGACUAAAAAAAUUUUAAUGAUAAACUAUUUUAAGCCAGUCAGUGUCAUUUAAUGUUUGUUUACUGAUCUCAAAGUAAAUUCUUUUUUAAAAAUGCUGGUAUGUGUCAUGACUGGAUCAGAAUAAACCAAACACAAAUCCAGGAUAAACAAUAAAAAAUGUAGCCCACUAAUAAAUACUAAAAAAUGUUUUCAAUCUAAAAUAAACCGAAGAAAGUAUACAAACCUAGUAGACUAUUCUAUUGGUGGAGGGCAAUGUCAGAAUUAAUAAGAAAAGCUAUAACACUUUAAAUAACAUGGUGAUAUCAUCAAUGAAAUACAGGUUCAGGCCAUGUUUAAAUGCAGUGCUAUCUCAUCAUUGCAUAGUACUUUACAGUUUUUACCCCCAAUUUUGUCCACUCUUCUCAUAAUCAUAUUUUGAAGUUAUAAAAGUUUAAAAGACAGAUGUCUUGGAGAACCCUUGAUAGUUGAUUUUCAGUUAAAGGCUCCAAAUCAACUCGCUGUAAUACAAAAAUAAUCAUUCUUUUGUUGGAUAGGUGUAUAUAAAAUGUUAGCACCAAAGGAGAAAUAUCAUAGGCACUAAAUCGGCAUUUUUUAUCCUUGGCUUCACGAAAAUGUUAUUUAGACACAGUCAGUAGUGAAAUAUAGUUUUAAAUCUUGUCUUGGUAAUUGCUAAACUGAAAACAAAUAUAGGCACGCUAUAGUGUACACUAUAUUCUAUGAGAACAUAGGAAAAUGAUAUUCACUACAUUCAUAAGUUCUGAGAAUAAGGGGCUUAAUUUUAACAUAAAUAAUCAAGCAAAUAAAAUCAUCUUAAAUUAGUGUUCUUUUUUUGUCAUUGCAGAAAAUAUUUUAUUCCCCUACCUUCCUGAAGGAGGUGUACAUUCCAUCCACAUAUGACUUGGAGUGGGCUCAAAGUUUGUUAAAUAAUGACUUGGGGUGAGUGAGGAGGGGCAGCUGUCAAGGGAACAGAUCAAUUAGCCAAUUGAAAUGUCAUUUCUCCACUCGCUGUAGGUUGUUGCCAUGUCUUUUUGCUGCCUCUUCCUCUCUCUCUCUCUCAUUUCUUAUUCUCUUGUAUUUUGAUUUAGAUAUAAAAGCUGAGACAUAAUUUAAACUGACAGCAGAACCAAGCAGUGUGACCUUGCCAGGAUUCCCACACAAUCCACUGGGGGUAAAGCAUGGGCCGAGGGAGGGGUGAGUGAGAGCGAAUGAGAAAGGAGUGAGCUAGCCUUUCCAGAUGGCCUUGCUGCUCAUGUAUUCCUGGAGGGCUAGUCUCGGGUCUGGAUGUUUUCAGACCUGUCUGACAGGGGAAUGAAAGCUGGAAUGAAAAGGAAAAGAAGAAAAACUGGGGAAUGACCAAAGAUUUGAGCAAUAGAGUGUUGAUGAUAAUAUAAGGCCCCAUACUUGACUGUGUCAGACACUGAAUGACUGGUAUUUAACAUUUUAGAGCUUAGUCUUGCUCAGCUAGGGAGAAAUAGCUAGUGUCCACUUUAGUAACACAGUAACCAGAUAAACACUACCUUGCCAGAUGACAGAUACUAAAAGGAUAGCUGGCAGGAAGGCACCUAAGACUUGGGUUUGCAAUGGACGCUCCAAAGGUUUCUGAGCAAUAACUGCAAUUUGUAUAUCCAGAGGAGGGCUGGGUGGCCUAAUAGGUGUGUUUGAGAUAACUACAGGCAGUAUGAGAUUGCUUCUGGCAUUUUUUUGCAACUCAGAAUGUCAGGAUGUUCAUUGGCAGUGUCAACAGUCUUUCCCACCAUCCAGUUGCAUGAGUCUACCUCUUUCCAAACAUCAGGUGGCUUGUAAAGCCCAGUCAGCAGCUGGAUGGGUUGAAGAAUCUUCACCUAGCCAGGCCCUGGGAAAGCCUGGAUGAAUUGCUCCACCCCAUUGCAGAGAGCACCUUUCUGGUGCCAAUGUUUCUUUGCCUUGGAAAAUGAUGGAAAACCCCAACAAAGUUGCUAGAAGAAAUUAUUUUCCAAAACAGGAGAGUGAGAAAAGGUAGAAUGGUCUGAUGACUACGAUGAAAUGUUUCUCCGACAAAAUAGCCAUGGGAAGCCAUGAUCCAUGAAAGGAUUAGAAAGGACCUAAGAGAGAAGAAAGAUCUGGAAUGCAUUCUUGACCAGAUCUGUUAUUGGACAUGAGAAUGAUAAGGCAAUAACAAUAAAAACACAACACAAACCACAACAGCUGCCACUUAAUGAAUUCUUGCUUUGUGCCUGGCACUGUUGUAAGUGCCUGAUGUGACAUUUCAUGUAUUCCUCCCAGCAACAUGAUGAGGUAGGUCCUUAGAAAGGUCUAAAUCAGUUUUAGAACCUGUGUAGGUUGACUCCAGAACCUUCUCACGUUUCCACAAGUGGUAUCAUACCUUGUGCUGUCGACUAGUCAGUUUUUGAAGGUAGUAAUGAAACACAGACAUAGUUUGUGUCCCUCAAGAAACUUAACAUUUAACUGAGAAAGAAAAUGAAAACAUGAAACUACCACAAUUUUUUAUAAUGAGAUGAGAUAUAAAUAAUUAAAAUCCCUUGCAAAAUAAUUAAAAAUAAUAAGAUUGUGACCAAAUGAUGCUUGAUAGAAAUCAAAAUGAGAAUCAGGCUAAGAAUCCAUGAAGGCUGAAAUUGAGCUGAGCCUGAAGAAGUGUGCAGGGAGGGAGAAGUGAAUUAUGUUCCAAGUUGCAGGAAUACCAGAACACUGAGGUGAGAAUGAGUUCGGUAUGUUUUAGAAACAGUGAAUUGAUUGGAGAGAUGACAAUGGAGGGCCUGACGGCGGAUCAAGGAGCUACAGAGUCAGUUGAGGAAGUGGAAGAAAUUUAAUGUCAGAGGAAAGCUGUAGCUUUCUGAGCAAAUGGGCCGUACUGGGUACAAGCAGAGUCAUAGGAGACUGUUCUCAUAGCUGAGCUGAUGGAGUGGGUAUGAGAGAUAGAGCGUACAAUCUAGUCUAUCUUUGAAGGAAACAAUCAUCUCUAAGCAGUUAGCAUAACUUCUGUGAGGUGCAGCCUUAACAUCUGAAAGCUCAGCUUUUGCAAUGAACGACAGAUGCCAGCAGAGCUUGUGUUCCACACAAUGGAAGUAAAUCAGCCCUGCCCUUUUCACAGUCAGCUCACAUGCCUGAGAUAUAAUAUAUGGGUUUCCCCUACUCAUAGCUCCAAAAGUGGGAGUGGGAGGAGGCCCAGGGUUGAAAGGUGCUCAUUUCAGGCUUGUAAAUACACCUUUCAGUUGAAAAGAGCUAUCAUGUGUCUAGCUCACUCCUCCCCGACUCUGUGAGCAAGUCUCUUCCUUCAGCUAACUGGAAUUACCACAUCAUUUCACUCCACCGGGUUUUCUUGACUUGGCAGUUUUCUGAUUGCCUGGCGGUCACAGACCAUAUUCUAUCUAUUGCUGAUACAGGGACCUAGAAAUGAGGGAAUUGAAAAUGCACAAGGCUGUUACCAGGACCCCAGCUCAGAGCUGUCCCUGAACUGAGAUUUUUGUUGUUGUUGCUUACAUAGAGAAUCAGUCUCCUUCUCUUCCUCAGCUGUCACAUUUCCCUUGUUCCCCCUCCAGAUCUCCUGCAGUCUCUCUUUUAACCUUGCCCACUCUGUCAGGCAAUCCCUCUGUACAGAAGCUGUCCACGGGUAGCCCAGAACCUUAAUGAGUAUGAGGUGAGGCUCCAUCAUUCCUGUUUGAGAAAAUUAAAAUAACAUCUCUGCAGUCAACUAAGCAACCUGUGUCCAGAGCACAGCGUACUUAGCAAAACGCAUUUCCUCAAUUUCAGCUCCUUGGAAACCUUUCUUAACCCCAGCCCGUCACCGUUGGACUCCCCGGCUCAGUGUCAAAGAGAGAUCAUUGUUUUGGCUGAGGUUCCUUUACACAAUCCUGUUAUAGAUCCUAGGAAGUGAAGAGGAAAUGUAAGUCAAUAGUGAAGGCUACUUUCAAUACUCAAUAACCAUUGCUGCCUAAAUUCAGAAUCUCUGCUGCACUUCCCUUGCAUUCAGAAUUAUCCAUCAAUGGUUAUAAAAGAAUGAAAGGCAUUCAACAUUUUUAAAAAUUAACUUUACGAUUAUUUUGGAAUCAUUUUAGAUCUAUAUAAAUGCCAAAAAUUAGUGCAGAGAAUUCCUCAUGUCUUACCCAUUUUCCUCUAUUACCAUCUUACAUUAGUAUGGUAUAUUUGUUACAAUUAAUAAACCAAUUUUGACACACUAUUAUUAACUAAAGUCCAUAGUUUAUUCAUGUUUCCUUACUUUUUACAAAAUAUAACUUUUCUGUUCUGGGAUCUCAUCUGGAUACCAAAUUACAUAAUCAUGUCUCCUUAGGUUCCUCUAGACUGUCACAAUUUCUCAGACUUUCCUUGUUUCUGAUGACCUUGACAGUUUUGAGGAAUAAUGCUCAGGUAUUUUGUUGAAUGUUUCUCUAUUGGAAUGUGCGUGUUAUUUUUCUCAUAGAUUGGCAUUAUGGAUUUGAGGGAAGAAAACCAAAGAGGUGAGGUGCCAUUUUAUCACAUUAUGUCAAGGGUACCUAUUAUCAAUAUAACUUAUCACUGUUGAUGUUGAGCAGAUCCCUUGGCUGGGAAAGUGUUUAUCUGGUUUCUCCAGUGUAAAGUUACUGUUUUUCCCCCUUUCAAUACUUUACUCAAAAGAAGUCACAAUAUGCAACCCGCACUUAAGGAAUGGAAAGUUAUGCUGUACCUCCUUGAAAGUGGGGUAUAUACAUAAAUUUUCUGUAUUUUUUCUAAGCAAGAAAUGUGUCUGUUCUCUUUAUUUGUUUAUUUAAAAUUUAUUCAUAGCAAUAUAGACUCAUAGAUUCUUAUUUUAUGUUUUGGGUUAUAAUCCAAUACUACUUUAUUUUGCUGCUUAAAUUGUACAGCUUUGGCUAUUGGAAGCUCUUUUAAUUGUAUCCUGUUUCUCUUUAAUUAUAUCCCGUUUCUCUUUCCCAUCAUUGUAGGAUUUUGAUUUGUUUGGUUGUUUCUUUCUUUCCGACACUAUAAGUUGUUCCAAGCUGACCUGGAAUAUUUCCUGCCCGAGUCCUAGAAUGAACCAUUUCUUCAAGGAACACUAGUUCCUGUUAUUGGAGAAUAGUGUUAGAAAUUAAGAUGUAGGUACUAGGUGAAAAUUAAAAAUUUGAGCACCCAACCCUGACAUUUUGUGUCAAGAUCUAUUAGGUGAUAAAUAUAAAUUUCAUAAAACCCUGCAAAAUAAAUAUUAAUGUUUUCUUUUGUAAGAUGAAAAUAGAGUACUAGAGAGGUUGGAGAAUUGUCCAAGUUUAAACAGUGAACCCCAGAGCUACAGUGUGAACUUUGGUUGUCUAAGUCUAGAACUGUACCUCAGCCACUUAUUCUGUAUUGAAAACUGGUGAUGUCAGAAACAAGAUGAAAUGUAAAGAAUGGGUUCCCUGGAUUCAAGUAAGCAUAGUUUUGAAUAUCACCUCUUUCUGUGUGUAUGCUUGUGUUAAAAGGUUGUUUAGAUCUGUACGUGCAGAGCUUUUAGAACAAUGCCUGACAGAUGGUAUUUGAUAAAUUUUAUUAUCGGUUAUAUCAUCAUCAUCUUUAUUAUCUUCAUUAUCUCCUACUGUAAGCUUACGGUUCCAUUUCUCAUUCUUCAGCUACUGAUUACGGGCAUCCUGAAGUGUCCUUAUCUUGGUCUUAUAGAAAGGGUAAAUGAACAAGCCAAAUAAUUCAUUCAUGGGUGCCUAAUGCCACCAAACCAAAUAUUUAAUGUAUGAGUGAACUUCUUUUAAUCUAUACGAUUUUUCUCCUUGUUUGAAGUAAAGGAAGGAAAUUCGGAAGGAAGGAAUACUGUAGGAAAAGAGCUAGGCUCCCCUCGACUAAAGUGGCCAGAUGUCUUGAAUUGUUUGCAAGUUUGCCCAUAAUGCCUUUUCUUAGAGUCUAUUCAAACUCCUCUAUAGUCUAUUGAUCACAGUCUUCUGUCUCUAACUGAAGGUGAGUGUGUGGAAGUAUAUAUGUGUGUGUGUGUGUGUGUGUGUGUAUAUAUAUAUAUGGAGAUAUAUAUAUAUAUGUGUGGAUAUAUAUAUAUGUAUCCCUCUUUCUCUCCUCUGGAAAUGCAGAAAAACUGCAUGCUGAGGGAGGGAGGGGUUGGGAGGAUUCAUGGGCAAUCACUAGGUCAUGAGGAUUAGCAACCAUCGUUAACUCUGAUGAUAUCAUGCUCAUUUCCUAAACACUAACCCUCAGUUAUGCACAACCGUCAUUCACAAACCCACUUAAAAUAUAAAUCUAUCAAUUUUACUUUAGCUUAGUAGCAUCCUGAAAGUCCUGUACACAGAGCACGUACUUUAAACAAGUAGAUAGAGACCCCAGAUAAAACAUAAACAGAAAAGGGGAGAGAAGUAAAUGCUUUGCUAAUGAGCUAAGAUUAGGGUUUCCUUUUCUUUCAAGUGUCAUGUUUAGGGCUUAAGCACCUCUGAUCUAGAAAAAGAGAUCAGAGGAUCUUUGAGAUGCAGGGGUUAUGUGAGGUCACCCAUCUCAGCUCGAAUACUUCUAAUGCAGGAGAGAAGAUCAGGAGACACUACACAGGUGGUGCAGCUUGGCUGACUGCUAUAUUGUUUUCUUGAUAAACUGAAGGAAUCAUGGCCACUUUUGCACUGGCAGAACUCAGGGUCAUUUGGUGACAGAAUAAUAACAUGGGACAGUGAGGAUUCUGAGGAGAACUGGGCUCAGGUUAAGGAGUGAGAUCUGAUUCAAUGUUUUCAUUUCUUGUUACUCCUCACUCUAGCCAGUGUCACGUUCCUGGCUACCCCAUAAAUAUCGUAUCUGUUCUGCUUUGAAAAGGAGCUGUGCUGAGCUCCUGGUGAGCUUCUGAUGGUGGCUGAGGCUAGUAUUGCAAAGUAACAGGAAAUAAAGAAAAAAAAAAGGAAGGAAAGGGCAAAGAUAAAAAAAGAAGAAAAAGAGUGGGAAUUUAUGCAGCUGUUUCUUUUUUUUUGGAAUCUCACUCUCGCCCAGGAUGGAGUGCAGUGGUGCAAUCCUGGCUCACUGCAACCUCUGCCUCCUGGGUUAAAGCGAUUCUCCUGCCUCAACCUCCCGAGUAGCUGGGAUUACAGGUGCUCACCACCACACCCAGCUAAUUUUUGCAUUUUAGUAGAGACAGGGUUCCACCAUGUUAGCCAGUGUGCAACUGUUCUUGACUAAUUUCUUAAUAUACUGAAAGGAAGAUACAAGAAUGAAUAGAUGGGUAAAUCUAUCCAGUACCAGUCAAAAGCUCACUCUCUCUCCUUCUCUCUUUUCUCUGAAACUUUUCUUCCUAGAACCAUAUAAAUAUAAGAACUGAAAAUAACCCAGAAGAUCAUCUAAAGCAAUCCUGUUUUUUUUAACAGAUUAAAACUUUAUUCCUGAGAAAUGGAACUUAUUGUGAAAUGAUUGCAAAACCCACAUUUAAACCCAUGUUUUCUGAUUCCCACUGUCAUGUGGAGGGCUAUCCUCCUCAUAGUCUGCUAUGUCCUUUUUUGUCUUUCUCCUUCUCAUCCUACAACCACCCCCAGCCACAUGCAGGGUUAGUCCUAUAUUUGUUCCUGUUUCUGCUAUAUUUGCAACUUAACUUAUGGAUGGAAACAUGGAGCCUCACUGAUUUCUGGCAGAGAUCUGUCUCAUGUGCUGACAAACACUCCCUGGCACUGGGCACCCGUCCAACAGCAGGUGCCUUGCUCGGCAAACGGCUCUGUAGUUGCUUCUCAAAGGAGGCAGGUUGAGGUCCAGCAUGUUCUUCCUGCUGCCUCGAGGUUAUGAUCUAGCACCAGCAUUUCUCUCACCAGGUGAAAGGAAGUGAGACUAAUGCUGCAAGGUUACCAACACUAAACAUGGGAGGUGGCUAUAGGGAGCAUCUGUGGCAGCUUAGGGAUUCUUAGCUUGAUGGAUGGGCAAGAAGAUAAGAUGAGACAUUUGAAAUUGUUUACAUAGGACUAUUGUCCAUGAAACUGAGUAGUUGACCUUCAGGUCACGAUGAAAUGUCUGCGUGUUUUCUCAAGGUGAGAGUGAGCUACAAGAUGAGGCUUCAAGGACCUAAAUUUGUAUCAUUAUAGGACUCAUUGAGGCAAAUUAUUCUUGUUUAACAAUAUGCGUUUAUUUUUGUACAUUACACACUAAUUUAGACACAUAUAGUAUAUACGUAAUGGUUAUAGCUAUAGAUGCUAUAGAUGAGCAAAUAGAAGGUAAUGAACACAGGGCUUAAAGUUUAUAAGAGGCAUAUUGCCUUAAAGUUAAUAAAAGGUUAUAGACACAGAAAAAUGAAUGGUGGGACCCUCCAUGAAAUGGAUGGCACAAAAGCAGGAAAGCACAAGUCAUGUAGAAAGGCAGUGAAAAACAAUUUUUGAGAGAUCCUAAGGGUUUGAGUAGGGGUAUAAUAAAAGAAAAUGUUGUAAAAAAUGACAUGCAGAAUUAAAAUAUCUGAGUGAGGUCUAUCUUCUUUGAUUGACAAGCCAAUGAAUGUAUUAUUUGUUAGAGGAGUGACUUGAUUUGAAAAACAUUUAAAAAUAUUAAUCUGGCAGCAUGCAAAUGAUACAUUGGAAAUAUAGAGGUCAGAGACAUCAAGUUUAAUUAGAAAAGUUUGUCAGUUAUUCAAAAAUAAGAAGUUAUAGGACCUAAAUUAGAGUGGUGGCACUGAGAAAAGAAUGUAAGGAUGAAUAGACAGGUGGAUGGAAGAAAUUCCGCACAGAAAUAAUGGAGCAGCUAUGGCAAUAAAUUCACUUUGUGGGUCCAAGGAUAAGGGGUUAAUUAUGAUGCACAGGUUAGGUAUGGGAUUGAUUUGACUGCAAUGUAAUUCUCUCAGUUGUGUCAUAGGGGCUAAUUUUUUUGAUAUGAUCAACUCAUAUUGUUUGACCUUAGCUGAUUGGGAAAAUGGUGGCAUAACUGAAAAUAUGAAGAAAAGCCAAAAAGCAGAGAUAUCUUAUGGGACAAGGGAGAAAAUUUUGUAAGACAAGCUUUAGGUAAUAGCAGAACACUGAUACCAGGCUCUGGGAAAGGCAGAACUGGUGCUCAGAAAAGGUAACAAGAUUGAAGUGGAGACCACAUGUUGAAAGUCAAGUGUGUCCAGGACAAAGAGCAUGGGGACCACAAUUAAGCCUUUGUAACACCCUCCUUCAAAGGUUGGGAGGGAAAGAAAGUAGUUUUCAGAGAUGUCACAGUUGAAGAAAUGGGAAAAAGCAAGAUUUCAUUCUGCUGGGGACAGAAUCUGAAUCUCAAAGGAUUAAGGAGAAAGUAAGUGGAAACAUGAAAGUGACAAUUAUGAACUAAUGUUCUACAGCAGAAAAUUAAUUACAUUCACGGUGUUGCACAUAAAACCUUAUUCAGGAAGGAGACUUGGACUGCCUCUUAUUUCCAACCCCAUCCCAUGUUUAUUUCACUUUUUCAUUUGCAUACAAUACUGUUAGGCGUCUGAUUUCAUGGUUGCUGUAUUCAUGGAUUCAGCCAACCAUGGCUGGAAAGUAUUUGGAAAAAUAAAAACAAUAAAAAUAAUUAUACAACACAAAUUACAACAUAUAGUAAAACAACUAUUUACAUAGUAUUUACAUUGCAUUAAGUAUUAUAAGUAAUCUAGAGAUGAUUUAGAAGUAUACUGGAGGAUGUGCAUAGAUUAUAUGCAAAUACUAUGCCAUUUUAUAUAAAGGACUUGAGCAUCCACAGAUGUUGGUAUUCAUCCCAGAUCCAAUCUCCUGCAGAUACUGAGAUAAAACUGUGCUUAUUAUUAUGUGAGUUUUGACAGACAGAUUUAUAUUUUUCUGUAUCCUAGGAAACAUAGACUGAGUCCAGAGAGUCUCAAAUUAUUUUCUGCCCCCAUCAACUUGCUUCUCUGUCUUGUCCAAGGAAGCCUGACUCCCAUAGAUUUAUGAGAUAGACUCCACUUCUGGUCUAUGUUUGGUCUCCCUGAGCUCCAUCUGUUGUGGGAAGCCCACAAAACUGUCUCUUAUUUUUUUCCCUCCAAUGGUUCUUGUUUAUCUCAUUGCAUUAUCUCCUUUACUUCUCUUUGAAUCUGUGAAACAAUUCUGCUCAUACUUGCAUCUUUGUCCAUCAUUUAAGAAACUAGGAUAUUAACACAACUCCUUGUAACAUUGAAACAAUGAUAUUUAUAUUCAUAUAGCUUUUUAGUUUCCUAAGUGAUAAUAUGUCUGUAUCUUAUUUGGCCUUCACAACAAUUCAGGAGUUGGGUAGGCCAAAUAAUUAUACCCAUUUCAGAGAGGGAAACUGAAGAUCUAGUGAACAGUGUAUAAUGAACACACACUGGAACCUAGUCUUACAUUAAUAUUUCCUGACUUCUUACCAGUUUUCAUCUCAUGACCUUAUAUUGCCCAAAUUAUCUUUCAUAGAAAACCCACAGGUCUGUCUUUCACAAUGUGAGGUAGUCAUUGGGACCACUGGCUUCUGCAUCAUACAGACUGAAUAGUUAGUUCCAAGUCAUUGUGUGGCUUUGCAAAGACUCAGUAAACUCCUUGAUUCUCAGUGGCAUCACCCGGAAAAUGGUGGGAAUAAUAAUAAUAUGCCAUCAUAGGGUUGCUGUAAAAAUCAAAUAAAACUACAUUAUAGAGAAUGCAUAAGGAUCACCCAACAAAGGUUAACAGCAAUAAAAUAAUUUAUUUAGGAUAAAUAAUCAUAUUUGAUCAUAAGCUUUUUUCACAAGUGUUCUCUUAAAACUCACAUGGCAUGCCCUUGAAUGUGCUUUUAUAUAGUGAGGGAAAUCUGCAAUUAGGGGAAAUAAAAUAUGUUUUCAGAGAUAAGUAAUUUAUACACAUCUAUUGGAGCUGAAAUAAAAAAUUCUGAUAAGUCAAGAAAAGUAGUAUUAUUGAUUAAAUAAUCCUUAGUUAUAACAGGCUUCUUUUAGUCUUCAGGCUUGAAUUUUUAUUCUUGCUUUGCCUUUUUCCUCGUCCUUAUUUUUCUUCCCCUUUCCUUUUAAGCCAUGGCACCUUGUAGUGUUAUUCUUGCCCUCACAAAUAGGACAGACUGUCAGAUCUUAAAGCCAAUGUUAACAAUGUAGAAGGAGAAACAGAAAUCUCACUGAAAUACAAAUACUUUUAUUAAUUACCAGCAUUAGCAGUAAAAAGAAAAGUAGAAAAUUACAGACAAGGAGAGCAACUUCUGGUUCUGAAUGUUCUUCGUAUUUCUCCAUGAUUACAGCUUGAAGUGCCUUUUCUUCCAGAGGCAGGGUAGCUUGGAUAGGAGACUCAGUGAGAUUUUGUGCCUUCAAUAAAUGUCAAAUUCAUGACGUCCCACUGGUUCUAGGAUAUAACCGGAAUGUACACCCACUCCUCACCUGUGCUCUUUCCUCUGCUACCUAGAUAGAAGGUAGUAGGAGGAUAAUUGGCAGAGUCAGACACCACUGAGAAUCAGCUCUGAGAUCUACUCAGGAAAACACUAUAAUGGGCCCUUUUUGCAAUAAACUGUGUCUUCUGAGUCCAGCCAAUGAGGCACAUUCAGAGGGGAAAACUUCUAACCUAUAUGAGUCACUGAAUAUUUUAAGGAUUAAUUCAUAGAUGCAUACACAUUAGCAAUUUUAACUUUUUGUUUUUUGCCUUCCCUGAUCAAAGCCAAAUUAUGAAAUAUUUUUAAAGGCCUCAUAUCUGUCUGAUGAAAAAUUUUGUUAGCACAACUGGAUAGAUAGAAGCUCCUAGAGACUACUGAAAUCAAUUAACUCUGACAUGUUAUUUUUGUUGUUCUAUACCGAAGCUAUGUCAAGUGUUGGGAAUCUGCCCUUCUAAGCCACAAGCUUCUGGCUUAUAGAGUUAAGUUGUCUCAGGACCACCUGGGGAGCCUUGAUGGUAUCUGAAACAAAAACAGAGAACUAAGAAACAUAUCCUAUUGCACUUAGGCAAUAUUCCCAUUAUUUUAAUAAUGGGAAAGGGAAUCUAUUUAAGAAACUCAGGUUUCUAUACAGGAGAAGAUGAGGGAUAUGGAACAAAUGGAGAUGAGAGAAUGAGGUAAAUGGCCUUCAAAGUUAGGUAGAGAAAAAAAAAAAAAAGAAGAAGGUGGAGCCCCACACUUAGAAAUGUCAUGGGAUGUGGCUUUGUAGGAGGUUUGAGUCUUGCUCAUUCAUUUGCCAGCUCUCAAUGAGCAGGGAACUGUGGGCCCUGCAAGGAAAUGAAAGGAACAAAGAUAAUAGCAGCCCUCAAAGACUUCCUGGUAGUUUUGUUUUAGAAUCAAAGUAUGGUAGAACCAAAGGCAACAUUCAAUAGCAGAAAGCUCAAGCCUCUUCAUUUUUCGGAUGAGACAACUGAGGCAUAAGAAGGUGAUGUGACUUGCACAUUUCUUUUUUUUUUUUUUUUUUUUUUUUUUUUUUUAGCAAACUUGUUAGUUGCCAAAUCAAGGCUAAAACCCGACAGUCUUCAUAACUCCUAGUACAUUGCUCUUUUUCACUCUACCACUCCCUUUAGAAGUCUGAGCUCUUUGUAGGCUUUUUUGCUCUAAAUUCUUAACAGAAAUAUUUUAUCUCUUCUCUUGAGGUAGAGAACCUAGCAAAGAUGAGAAAACUUCUUUCUAUCCAGAUUUUACUACUAUUCAUUCAAUUCUUUCACCACCUCUGUCCUCCACACAAAUUUUCACCAUGCUCACACUAUAAUGUCCCCUUGAAACAAAUCUUGAAGUUAUAGAGUCUGCUCUAAGAAACCCUGGCUGCUCUCUCCUUGAGGGGAGUUUUAAGGAACACUUUCUUGCUUGUGUCAGAGGGAUCCUUGACCCAAUGAACCCCAUGAGAGUCAGUAUGCACUUGUUGAACACUCCUUCAAUGCCACCUACAGAUGCUUGAGCCCUUGAUCUUAAUUAAUAAACAUGGAAACAGAUUUAUAAGUCAUAGUUUUUAUAUCAGAUAAAGUGACUGCCAUUCUUCCUUUAUGGCUUUCCAGUAUUUUAGUCACUUAUUUGAAUUUGAAUCAUAUUUUUAAAUGGACAUAUAUAUUUUCUUUUGUUGGUUAUUUGGGACAAAUGUGCGGCAAAUAUACACAAACAUUAUACACUAGUUUGAAUAUGACUCUCUUAAAUUUAAUGAAUGUCUUAAAUUUCCAAAUCUAUAAUUUUGUAUGCUUUGAAAUUGAAGAAGCAUGAGUUUUUAUUAUUCAUGAGUGUACCAUUAAGUUAUUUCAUAAUGAUGUAUUCAGUAAAGUGAUGAGAAUCAUGAUAAUAAUACUUUUAUAAUCCUAUUUAUCUGCUAUACAUUCAUUAGAACAGGUGGAACCUGGUUGAUCAAGUGUACAAUUUACUAUUAAAAUCAAAAUGUCCCUAACUAUCACAUUUCAUGGUGUUAGGAAAUGUCAUUGAUUCUUAUUUCUGGAGUACGCUGGGAUCUAAGGUAUAUAUGUUCAUAUUAAUUGUAUAGUAUAAUUAUUGGAAUAUAAUAAAAUAUAAUAAUAUCAUUUAAUGUUUUCAGUGAUAGUGUACACUUUGCGGUGGAAGAAAAGCUGCAACUUUGACACUCUCACAUAUGUUCUUCAUACUGAGAUAAAUGAAUGUUAGAUCUAUGUUUACUUGCUUUGUUUUUAUAACCUGUGAUUUCUGGAUACAUAUGCCAGCCUUUGGUAUGCUCUGCAAUAUAUAUGAGUAUUAUGUUAUUGUCUAUGAUUAAUAUACUUAGGAUUGAGUGGCUCAAUUACAAUGUAGCUAAAAGAGAAAAACAGUAAAAGUGGGCAAGGUCUUAGGUAAAGCUUGUAGAGAUCAUAUAACAAGUUUUAGAUGGGUAAGUGGAAGAAGCAAAAUUGAUUUAAGCCAGGGUACUGAAAACUGAUGUACUAGUGAUUGUUAAAUAUUACCACGUCUGAGGAAACAUUUGAGUAGCCUAAAAUGUGGGCCAAGGCCUUUACAUACUUUAAUUAGUGCUGUAUUAUUGCACACCAUUCAUACGACUUGAGAAUUUCAAAAUAAUCAAUGGUCCCUGUUCUUUUCAUCUGCCCCAUAUCUUGUUACCUUGGCAACAGACAUUAAAUGAUUUUAAGAAUUUUCAGAAUUAUAAUCACACUCUACUUCAAAAGUGUGCUUCUAGGUAAAUAAACUUUAAGAAAAAAAGAGAAAUGAGACCUAAAGGUAACCUCAAAGCACACUGAAUGAGAACCUGAAGGAUUGGCAUUUUCUGUUUACAGUGUACUGUAAAAACAACUUCCGAGCUUUUGGUGGAGUCCUCCAGAUGUCAGAGUCUUCUUAGGCCAUUCAGGUACAGAAGAAUUAUGCCAUUUCUCCUCCCACUCCAAUACUGGAUUACUUGCAAUUGGUUUUAAAUCAGUAGGUGGAUCAGAAGAAAGAGAAGGAGGAGGAAUAAUAGCAGGGCAUGAAAAUAGAGGAAGAUGCUGAAGAAAGUGAUGGUGCAGGUGGUGGUGAUGGGGAAGAUGCCAGAGAAGGAGAUGAGGGAAGGAGAGGGAGAAGGAGAGUAGGAAGAAGGAAAGUAAGUUCCACACCCAGCUAAUUUAACCAGCAAAAAGAAGAUAAUUAUUUACCAUCAUACUUGUCUAAAUUCCCUUCUUCAAGGACAUGGAUAGAUGCAAACUUAGAAUUAUAGAACUCUAAUUCAUUCAGUGAACUCUUAGAUGCCCAAGCACAUGCAAAUGUCUGACAUUCAGGAAUUGUCUUGAGCUUAGAAUAUGGCCUUACUUACCAGGGUAAAAGAUAUGCAAUAUGAGUUGAUUUGGUUUUAAAAAUAUGCACUCAAAUCUCUGAACUAUCUAGGAUUUCUUCGUGUCAUCGUGUUUGAUAAUUUAACACAUAAUCCAAUCAUUUUUUGAUAUCUGAAAUGAACUAGUUAUUCUGUUUGUUCCUAUUCUCAUUUUUAAAAAGUAAAUAUGACUAUCUAAGCUCAAGUAGAUAUUUCAAGAGUUCUCAUAUGAAAAGGACUUUCACUGGUGAUUCCCUGUUGAAAAAUAAUGUAAAAAUAUAAAAGGGAAGAAUAAUUGAUAUCACAUGUAAGUGUUUAUAUGGACAGUUUUUAUUUAUCUUGUGUUACUGAAAAAUAAGAAUAAAAUAUCUGCUGGAUGCUGGAUAGAUUGUAUGUUGUCCAGCUUCUAGUGCUUCUUAUUUUUUGAGUUAAGUCUUUGGGAACACUUUUUGACCUAAGACAAAGCUAAAUUCUGUAAAUUUGAGCCAUCUUGUAACAGAUUUCUGCAAUCUGUAUGAAUACAAAGAAUUUAAUUUAAACUGAAAGCAGAGUGGAGUUUAUAUGCGUAUUAUAGUCAUCAUUUAAGACUCUAUUCACCUGGCUUGCAUAGCUCUUCUGGACCAGGUGCUAUACAACCCUCUGAAUCUUGUUGCUGAGUUCAGGAGGAAGCCUAAAAUAAGAGAGAACAGGAGACAGCUGGAAAAACACUUGAGUAAAGUUAGGAAUCUUCACACUAGUCCCUCCUGGACCAAUACGUUUUUCUGUAAACUUGAGAGUGCCCCUGAAGUUUUCUGGGCCUUGGUUCCCUGUAAACAGCAGGAGAUGCUUGUAAUGAUGAUGUCUAAGGCUCCACCAUCUAGUCCUGGACUGCUAGGUGGUUUCAACAGUUAAGGUGACUGUUGCAAAUCACUCUUGACAGAAUACAAACUGCUUUCCAACCUUUGUGAGAGGUGAACAGUGAGGCACACCUCCUUACCCAGCGAAAUCCAUGGAUUUCAUGCCUAUUUUCACCACCACUUCGUGAAUUCCCUUAAUAAUUAUGCUGUGCCUAGCCAAGUCUGUCAGGAAUUAGCAAAUAAUUUGGUCUGGUUUUGAAGGCGCUGUCAUCUAAGAACAUACGCUGACCUUAAUCUGCUGAGUCAUAGGCAAUAUUUGUAAAUAUUUUCAGUGCAGUUAAUUUUCCAGAGCCCCCCAGUUGAUCCUCUCUGCCUUGCAAUUUCUACAUUGCCUUUCGGCCAUUAGUAAUUUUCUUGCAAUCUAAAAGCAAUACUUAGGACUCAGAAGCUCUGCUCUGAUGGACGGUUGGAUUAUAAUGUUUCCUAUUUUAGUGCACUGUUGAUGGAUGGGUCAAGCCAGUAGUAAAAAUAAAUAAAUAUAAUUUCAAAAACUAGAGGUGCACCAAAGUCUAUUUUCUUUUCGUCUUGUAAAAUAUAAUCUAAAUUUCCUGUUGUAUUGAAUGUGUGCAGAACAUAGAAGCUUGCUUCCAAAGAAUUACUGUACGGUGAGGAAAAACUAUUAGCAACUUUACAAUGGAGAAAUCUAGCAAACACUAUGUUGACCAGGUUAUCAAGGUUAAUGUCACCAGUAACAGGCAUGUUGGUAUCAUAUAACUCUAAUGGGAUGGGAUGAGAAGGGCAUGCUGCCUGUCUAGUAUUCUUCCUCUACACCUAUAACGCUAGUAUAAUCAAAGAAAACAAAAAUGUCAGGCAAACCAAUUUGAGGAUAUUCACCAAAAUUCCUGUCUAGCACUCUUCAAAAUUGUCAAGAUCAUGAAAAACAAGGAAAGACUGAGAAACUAUCACAAAUAGGAAGAGACUAAGGUAACAUGAGAACUAAAUGUAAUGUGGGAUCCUGAAUUAGAUCAUGGAACAGGAAAAAGACAUUAGCAGAAAAACUGGUGAAAGUGAAAUAGAGACAGCAUUGUAGUCAAUAGUAACUUACCAAUGUUCAUUUCUUAGGUUUUGACUGUUUUUCCUUGGUUUUGUAAGAUGAUGACAUUAAGAGAAACUGGAUGAAGGGUAUGCAGCAACUCUCUAUGACCUCUUAAGCAUGUGUCUAUUGUGAAAAGAAUAACUAACUUAGCUACAUGUGCCUGUAUUUGUUUGCUAGGCCUACCAUAAUCACAUAGCACAGAUGGAGAGGCUUAAACAGCAGAAAUCUAUCUGACUGUUUUGGAAGCUUGAAGUCUGACAUCAAGGUGUCAGUACGUUUGGUUCCUUCUAAAAGCUGUGAGGGAAUAACCUGUUCUAGGCUUCUCUCCUUGGCUUCUCCUUGGCUUCUCCUUGGCUUCUGUGUCUCUUCCCAUAGUCUGGCCUCUAUGCCUACCUGCCACUGAAUCCAAUCAGGUAUCAGGGAUUCGGGCCCACCAUAAUGGCCUUAUUUUAACAUAAGCACCUCUGUAAAGACCCUAUCUUCAAAUAAAGUCAUAUUCUGAGGGACUGGGCAUUAGAACUCCAAUAUAUCUUUUUUGGAAGGACACAAUUCAACCCAUGUCAGCAUCUCAGAGUUCUUUAGCCUUUUACAUUCUGAAGAUAUUUUGGCUCCUUCUUCUUUUAUUCCCCAUAUCCAGUGUAUGACUAAACCCUACAUCUUUUACUUACUAAAUGCUGCUCAAUCCAUGUACUUCUCUUUCUCUGUGCAAUCACCGCCACCACUCCAGUCCAAACUCUUACAACAAUUUGUCUCGACUUCAGAAAAAAAAGAAAAACCCUCUUCAAUUAUUUUUCAAAUUAUUUUUUUUGCUCUGCUCCAGUCUACUCUCUAGAUUGUAAGCAGCAGUGUCCUCACAAUGCAAAUCACCUAUGCUUAAAAACAUUCCAAGUCUUCCCAUUGUUCUGAGAAUAAAAGAUCAAAUCUCUACCAUGACCUCAGGGCCCUCUGUGACCUCCCAGUCUAUUAGCCACACCAAAAACCUCAUCUGCCUCAUCCUCUCUGCUCUUGCAGCACUAGCCAAUUUUACAUCUUUGCAGAAAGCAGAAGCUUUCUCCUGCCAUGGGGAUUUACUUGUGCUGUGUUCUCCCUUCUAUCCAGCUUGCCCACCUGAUUACCUCCACUUCCUUCCUGCUCAUCCAUCAGAUCUCAGUUCCAGCAUUAUUGUAUCAGGAACAUCUCUCUUGCAUCCCUCCAGCCCAGAUCAGGACACCUGUUACAUGUCAUCUGUACAUCAUACGCUUUUCCUUCAGAGUACUUAUCACAUUUUGAAAUUUUACAUUUAUGUCAUUAUUUUAUUGACUUUUAUCUCCACCACUGGAUUGUAAGAUGCGUAAGGCAGGAACCACGUAUCUUUGACUAUCUGCCUCAUGUGUAAUAACUAGCUAUUUAGUACCUAUAAUGCUUAGCUUAUAGUUAGUUCUCAAAUUCUUAAAUUAAUUAAUAUAUCCAUAGAUUUAUUUUCAAUUUAUAUUGUUUAAUUUGACACUGUAUUUCUUCUCCUGGUCUCUUAUAGGUACUUGAUAAAUUUGCUAAUAAUAUUUAAUUCACUUUAUAGUUAAUGCACUUAUAUCAAAUCAAUCACACAUACUUCAGGUAAAAAAAGAGAAAUAAUCAUUUUUGUGAUUUCCCAACCUAGUGACAACAGAAGGCCAAAUUUUAUUUGCUAGGCUAAAUAGAAGCUUCAACUUUGAUAAUUUCCAUAUUUUAAAUUGAUCAAUAUCUAUAAAAUUUAUUUUAUUAUAAUUUCUAAAUGUUAGAGAGGCAGACCUAAAGCUAUAUAUCUAAGUAUAUUGAAAAUGUUUUAAGUUAUAUGUGACUGAGUAUAGACUUUCUAUUGAUUACAGGCUUUGAAGUGAGUAUGUUUAUUAAAAAUGUUCUUUGAGCCUUUCCAUCACAUUAUGGAGAGAGAUCCAGACAUUUUUGUAAUACUCAUUAGUGUUUGUAAUACUAACAAAUCUCUUAUAGCAAAUGUAUCCUAAAGAAGUUUUUCCACUCUGAGUAAACAAUAACUAUGGGAUGUUAUUGUUUGCUAUAACAAUAACAUGGGAUGUUCCAUUCCGUGGUUUAACAAUUAUGUCCCUCUGAAAAUACCAACACCCACUUUCACAGACAGCUCAGAAGGCAAAAAUAUUCAGGACAUUUUAAUUUCUAUAGGACACUAGGGUUUGAUUACAGCAAGUGUUUAUCUACAGUAGUGUUCUUUUGUGUGUGCAGAAGGUGGAGGGAGAGAGAAGCCUGGCUACUUAUGAAAAAAUCUAUAUUUAAGUUAAAAUUCAAUGCCCCAAGAUGAGAAUUUUAAAUAAAUAUCCUGAACAUUUAAUGCGUUAAUUUAUUUUAAAUAAAUACCCUAAAUAUUUAAGACAUUAAUUUAAGAAGUAUGAAAUGAAUACUUACCAUAUGCUGACUCUAUGUUCAAUCUGUAAUUCACAGCAAUGGCUCAAGUGAACACAUCUCCUGUUCUCAGGGGGCUUAUAUUCUAAUGUGGCAACUCAAUAUAUGUCAGUCAAGCUUAUGAGGGAUCAUUUUUGGUCCAAGAGCAAUUUCAGAGAUAUUGAUUCAGUUAUGUUCUCUUGCUUGAAGCUCUAAGUCUUUAAGAGUGUGGCUGAAAACAAUCGCCUCUUGUCAGAAACCUGCUUGUCCAACAGGAGACAGCCUUGCAGAUUUAAGCCAAGAAAACCAAGCCCAGCUCAGCCAGAGUGAAUUAUCUUUGGGAUCCUGUGCAAGAGCAGAACCCUCACAGUUGUGUUUGAUUGUCCUUCAGUUGCUCUUGCAAUAUUUGAACAGAACUGCUUUCACUUUGAGAGGAUGCAUAUAUGUGUGCAUGUCCUCUCUUGGUAUGGCAUGGACUUACGGAGCUGCUCCCUUACUGAGGCCUCAAUGAGAAUUAUUCCUAAUGCUUGCAUUGCCCACCUAUGGAUAAGUCAAAUGGAAAAGAGAGGCAAAUUAAAGCAUCUCCAAGGGUCACCCUCUAGACCGUGGGGUAGUGUGUGUUUGUGUGGGAAGAUAUAUAUUUUAGCCUUCUUAUCUGUCUCCUAAACGAGUACUUUCUAUAUAAUAUCCCAUUUUACUUUUCUGUAUAAUUCAAUCUUCCAAUAUGAAAUAUUCUUAAACAAAGAAUAAUCACUUUGUAGUAAAAAUAGGACUAGACUGUAGAAUCUCCACCACUCCUCUUUGGGGAAGGUUUAUUUCACUCCCCCACUCAGCCUCAUGUGAAUGCAUGUGACCACAGGUGAAGUAACCCUGCAGUUUCAGGGCUCAAUGCCGUCAGUUCCUAUGGUCUCCUCUUCCCUGCCCUAUCCUGACUUUCCUCUGCACCAAAUUCCACCCUCUGCCCUUAUGUCAUCAUCCUAGUAAAGGGCAUCUCCCCAGGCAGAGCCAAAGGAAAUCGUAUUUGCAAUAUCAAGCAUACCAAUACUUGAUAAUAUUUUCCAUCUUGUCAAAAUACUUCCUUUAUAUGUUGUACUUGAAUUUUUUAAAGAUUUUUUUAAGAGAAGAUUUAGGCUCACAGCAAAAUUGAGAGGAAGGUAGAAAGAUUCUCCAUACACCCCCUGCCCACACACCUGCAUGGCCUUCUCCCCUGUCAGCAUCCACCAUCAAAGUGGUACAUUUGUUACCACUGAUGAACCUACACUGACAACUCAAAAUCACCCAAUGCUCAUAGUUUACAUUGGAGUUCACUCUCGGUGUUGUACAUUCUACAGGGUUGAAGAAAUGUGUAAUGACAUGUCUCCACCAUUGUGGUAUGAUACAGAGUAUUUCCACUGCCUAAAAAGUCCUCCAUGUUUCAUGUAUUUAUUACCCAACUUCUGGCAACCACUGAUCUUUUUAUUAUCUCCACAGUUUUGCCUUUUCCAGAAUGUCAGGGUUGGAAUCAUAAGUUGUGUGGCUUCUUUCACUUAGUAAUAUGCAUUUAAACUUUCUUCUUGCCUUUUCAUGGAUUGAUAGCUUCCUUUUAGUGUUGAAUAAUAUUCCAUUGUCUGGAUGUACCACAGUUUAUUUAUCCAUUCACCUACUGAAGGACAUCUUGAUUUCUUCCUAGUUUUGAUAAUUAUGAAUAAAUCGGCUAUAAAUAUCCACUGACAGGUUUUAGUGUCCUCAUUAGUUUUUAAUUCCUUUGUGUAAAUACCAAGCAGCACAUUUCCUGGAUCAUGUGUUUUAAAACAUGUUGUUUUCUAAGAAGCUGCUACACUGUCCUCUGAUAUGGCUGCACCAUUCUGCAUUUCCACCAGCAAUGAAUGAGUUUCCUGUAUUCGAUGUUGUCAGUGUUCAGGACUUUGGCUAUUUUAAUAUGUAUAUAGUAGUAUCUUAUUUUUAUUUUAAUUCACAUUUCCCUGAUGACAUGUUAUGUGGAGCAUCUUUUCAUGUGCUUAUUUGCCAUCUGUAUAUUUUCUUUGGUGAGGUGUCUGUUAAGGUCUUUGGUCCAUCUUUAAUUUGCUUGUUUGUAUUCUUAUUGUUGAGUUUUAAGUGCUCUUUGUGUAUUUUGUAACACAGUCCUUUAUCAAAUGUGUCUUUUGCAAAUAUUUUCUCCCAGUCUGUGGCUUGUCUUCUCAUUUGAUUGAUUGUGGUUUACUUUUACACCUGGAAGUGGGAGAUAAUAUUACAUUGCUUUUGGUUCUUGGUACCUAGCAUGACCCCAGAUAUGUUAGUUCUUAAUGUCUUUUUGGAGAACUCCCAAUGAGUAAAAAGUGUAACUUUUUUGGAUGGGUUAAAGUCCAGUUGAAUCCAUUCUCUUCACAUCACAUGAAGAGUUAGAGGGAUAACUUUAUAGAUAUCUUUAGAAUACUUGAUUGUCCUCAUUCACCUCCUAAGGUUAGGUGUAAGUUCCCAAUUGACAUUAUCCUAAUAAGAACACACACAAUGCUUCAUUCUCCUCGUCAACCAGAGUGUUUUCCUUUUGCAAGAGGAACUUGCUGCAGAACUUUGCUGUCCAUAUUGAUAAGCUAUAAUGCUAUUCAGUUGGCAAGACAUGGCAAGGUUACUUCUCUUGAGGUUAUGCUCAGUGGCAAGACACCCAUUUACUUAGAAAUUAGAUUUUUAAAAAGAAGCUUGCUUCAUUUUUAUUAGACAGUAUUUAGAGAUUGCAAUGUUUGCAUAAGCUAUUUCUCAGGAAUAAUUUACUCUAACCCUAACCCUAUUCUUGAGGAUAGCGUGCUCAUGCAUAACAGCUGCAGAAUAUAGGUCAUUGUCUUUUAUUUCAAUGACACUUAGCAGAUUCCUUCCAUCUGACACGUACAAUACUGCUUCUCUGCUUCUUUCCUCUUGACAGAAAUGAAUGUCGGCCAAAAAGUAGAAACCAAAAUAGCAAAAUAAAAAUAUUUUUAAAGUGGAACAAUUUCAAAACUGGGCACAUGAAGGAGAAAUGAAAAAUUAAUGCCAUUGGAAUAUGUUCUGACCUAAACCUUUAAAAUAACUUGUAGCUUUUUUAGUAGGUGGGAGGGCAUGAUUUUUCUGGAAUUUUGUGUAGGAGAAGGAGUUGGCAGGGAGAAGUAACCUCUUGCCCCUCAAGGUCUUGAUGGAUUAGUCCUGGCCCAAGAAGAGUGCUGAUGUUACAGCCAUCAAAAGAAGGGGAAUAAGCAAAAGUUGAAAAGGGCAAAGGCAGUGGCUCAUUUGUGGCAGGGCCACCACUGAGCUGCCCAAAAUGUCAUUAGGCUGAAACUGAGGAGCCAGCCUUCACAAUUGACAAUCACUUAAGCCUCCAGCAAUAAAGAGAUAAUAUGAGAAGUGGGACAGAGGGAAGGUUUUUUCCCCUUCAUUGUUUCCAAGUUGUUUAGAGAUGAGAAGAUCUGAAAACGAAGCUGUGAAUGACCACUCAGGAGCCUCUGGGUACUGCUGACCUCUCUGCAACUCAGUUCGCUCAACAAUAAACUCUGAGAGCAUAUGUGUCAAUGAUUGCAAGUCACAUACAUGUUUUAUUUAGUCCUUAGAGUUUUGUUCUAUUUUGUUCAUUAAGUACCCAGCUAAAAAUAUGAGGGGAUUUGUAUUUAAAUUUUCUUGAUAAAUUCAAUCACUAGUAACAUAGUUUCUGAAUGAUUGCAGUGGGCUCAACCUGAUGAAAGUUGUCCCUUUUAGCCUGUCUAGACUGUUUACACUUUAUCAUAAUCAUCCUGCUCAGUGGUCUUUCCACCCAAGCCAUUUCAUGGAAUCAGGUUAUAAAUGCCUUUGUAGGCAUUUGGGUUUUAAAUACUACUUAUAAUUACCUGUAUCACUUUCAGCUCUUGCAUCUAUUAUCCUUUGAUUCUGAAAUAUCCUUCCACCUAUGUAAUUACUUAUAAUUUCAUUCAUAAUUGUUCUCUGAAGCCUGAACUGGUCAGUUGAUCAACUGCUGGGUUGCAAGUACAGUGUACAUCUAAUUUGUUUUCAACAGCUUGCAUCAUAGCACAAUUUUUAACUUGCUUUUCCAUGAACAUGUUUAUUUUCUUCUUGUUUCCUUUUUACAACAUCAUCUUCAUAUUAGCUUUUUUAGUGACUCCGUCAGCAAUGCGUUUAAUAUUGCCCCUCACAGGCUGCUCCCACAGCUCAGGGUAUCUGAAGCCUUAUGAGGUGCAAAGUUCUCACAAAUCACAAUGAACAUUUAACCUAAAUGUACAUGAGUAGCAGGAUUUAUUAAAAUUUAAAUUGACCAACCGAUUUGAUUUAGUUCUAUACCCUGAUUCGUUUUAAUCUAUAAGCAUAUUUGCAUGGGCUAAUUUGCAUGGCCAAUACACAGAUGCACAUCCAUGCAUAUUUAUUUUAAGUAAUUUAGGAUGUUAAUUUAGUAGAUAUGAUAAUGCAAUCUUAAGUUGAGAAAAAUUAUGACAUAAAAGUCUGGCAGCGUGGGGAGUCUGUAGUAUUUAGUGAUACAUAUAAGUAAUAUAACUGUUACCAAAAAAUAACCCCUCAAUUACAAAAGAUAUAUGAUUUAUGUUACUUUUAUUAUUUUAAAAUACACAUUUUAUAUAUGAUUUUUUACAAUAUUAUUAUAUUUUACUUAAUCUUUUUCAAAAGGCAAAAAGGUGAUAUUUUUUAAAAUAAAGAGGAGAUAGUUUCAAUCAGUAUGUAUAUAAUUUUUUUAAUGUCAUACUAUGAGACAGUAUAAAACAGAUACAAACGAAACCUCCAGUUGAAGCAAACUAAAGCAUUCAGACUCUGUUUAUUUGGUAUCUACCUACCUCUUUCCUGCCCUUAUCCCAGAGCCUCUGAGGCACUUCAAUAUAGUUCCAAGGUUCUUCAAAAAUCUGUUCGAAACCACUGGAUUAGAUAGUAUCUGGUGUUCUUUUGCGCCAAUAUUCCUUAAGUCUGAAAGUCAUUUGUACCUAUCUUAGAUUUCUUAUAUAAUGUAAUUUGAUGUCAAUAAGUAUGUUUAAGACUAUAUUAAUUGUAUUUUUUCAGACAGCUAAAGAAGAAGCGUAUUAUUAAAUUAUUCUUUAUAAUAGGGUUUUUUUCUUAAUAUUUUGGAGGAAUAGUGAAACACACAAGAAUGAUCAAUGAUCCUGUAUGUGCACAUUUUCCAGCUGAAAUACUAGAGUUCCUGAAGACCAGCUUUCCAAAUCUGAUCCGAAGGAUAUUAUGUCUCACUUACCAGUCCUACUUUGCUUUUAUGCUAUCAUAAAGACUUAAUGAUGUCCCAUCAAGACACAUUAACAUUUCCCUUGAGCUGGAAUAGUAUGAAACCUACCUGAAUCCUUUAGCUUUUUGUAAUCUCUUUUCCAUAACCAGUCUUAUAUUUCAGAGCAAGUGGAGAGCCUGUUUUAGUACUGCAGAUGAGCAAUGUGAAGCCAACACCUUGACUAUACAAUGGAGCAUGAAAAAAUGACGGGGAGGAGCAGCCCCAAGGUAGCUUAAAGAAAGUACUUGGAGGAUAUCCAAACUACAAAUAAUGAUAUCCUGUGAACCCCACCCCGAACCCCCAGCAUGUUUUGUGUUAGACUGAGAGCCCAGGGCUCCUCUCUUCUAACAGAGGAAUACGUAUCCAAGUCAGGGAGCCAGUCAGGGGAGAAACUGUAGAAAUCACUGGAACACAUUAUGUAUGCGCAAGAGCAUUGAUAUUGGAUGAAAAAUAUUACAGCACACAGCCUUGUUUCCUCUUUAAAAUUGGACAUUUUAAUAUGUUAUUUUCUGCAAGUUGUAGGGAAGGUAUACAUUAUUGAUGAGAUCAUGUUUUAUAGAAUUUCAGAAUUUCUGGCUUUUCCAGUCUAUCAUUUUCCUAGCAUCAUAAUGAAAAGAAUUCUCAAAAAAGAAUCUUCCAAGGUUCCGAGGUACGAUAAUGAGAGAACAGACUGAACGAAUGCUCUUUUCAUUUCUGUCCUUCUUAGCUCUGUCAUCCUUUUGUUUUCUUCUCUCCUCUACCACACUCCUUCUUCACUGUUUGUUGAAGUGAGAUCUAGAAGCCAGUAAAAAGAAAGGAUGGUUGCUUUGCAGAAAAUUUACAGAGCUUUUAAUAAAAGGAGGGGCUGUGGGAAAGAGUCACUCACAGAGAAGACCUGUGUUCCUCUCAGGCCUUCCUCCCAAUCACCUGAAAAAUGGGCAGAAAGAACAAAGAGAUGGUUGGUGCUCUGCCUGCGAAGCAUAGAGCAAGGAAUCCCUGUGCUACCCCUGUGUUUUGUCACCCCUGUUCUCUUUCGCUGAAGGAGUAUGUUGUAGAGAUUACCUUUCAUAAUGCUCUAGUUUUGAAUAUAACUGAAAAUGAACUAAAAGUUAUGAUUUUGAGUCUUAAGCACUCCUUUCAUCAUCAAGCCACUUCAAUAUCUUCUGUCAGUCAAACACAGAGAAAGAAGGAAAGAUUCCACAAGUGUCCCCUUUUUUGUGUGAUUGGAGAACACAAGGCCGUAAUUCCAUUUCGUGCAUAUUUGUUGCACAAAACCAUUUUCUCUGGUGAUGCUUUUUAGCAGUCCUUCUGGCUUUUACCUCAUUAUCCCCUAGCUGUUUGGAGGUGCAAUACUGACCAAGAGGGGAAAGGGAUAUGAAAGAACAUACUUUCCUCUGCAGUCCUCCAGUCUGGAGGCCUGAGGGAGCAGUGCUGGGCACAGGCUUCAGGAGGGUGGGUCACUAAUUUUUUCAUAUGCUAAUCUGCAUAGCAACUCCAUUUUUCCCUGACCAUCUGUGCCCAGUCACGUUCACCCUGCAGCCACUUGAACCUGAAGAUGUUGUGGGAAUUACUGUAAUGAUGACUGCAUGAUGGCGGGGCAGGUACCCCUGUAGUCAGCUGGUAUCCAGAAGCACUGUAAGAAUAAGUAAAACCUCCCCUCUGGAAAAUAAGUAACUGGAAAUUUGUCAUGUUUUCCUUUGGUUAGUCCUACCCUUAAAUUUUAAGUUUCUUUGUUAUUUAAAUCCAUAGAUUGCAGCUGUAGUCAAACAUUGGAGCCAUAUUUUUCCUGUGUUCAGGGAAAGUUACUGCUUGAAUCUUAAGUGUAUCUCAAAUUGCUCAAUGUAAACAAUUCCAAUGCCCAGGGAAAGAGUGGGAUAGAGGAAAAUUAUACAUCUGCCUAGUAUUUUUCCAUUUUCAACAUUCUUUUUUUUUUUACUUGGACAAACCUUCAUCUGAACCAUAGAUUAACAAAUUAUUAAAAAUUAUACAUGGCUAAGGAGUGGCCAUCCAGCCAAGUCAGGUGAGCCAGUUGUUAGGCCCAAAAUAUUUCCUGACUCAGUUACUCUUACUAACUACACAGAGAUGCAUGGUUGUCCUUUUCAUGACUCUGUCCUUGUAGGUAAUUUAAUUUACAAGGAAUCCAAGAUCAGCACUUGUAUAAGUAAAUAAAUUAAUUACUUAAUACUAUUUCUCAAUCAUAAAUCUCAUACCCACCACAUUUUGAGAAGAUCAAUAAAUAUAUUCCGUGAAUAAUACCCUCGUUUUCAAUACUUUAGAAUGCCACAGCUGACAGCAAAGACCACUUAGGGGCUAAAGAAUAUUAGUCAGCAUGACAGGCUUCAUCCUGGUCAAGAAAGGUUUCACCUCUACUUUAAUCCACCUACUUUUUAUUAUUUCUCUUUUUUUUCUUUCUCCUUCUUAGCACUGCUAGUGCAACUAGCACUAAGAGAACUUAUGCAUGAAAGAGGCUUUUGUGAGGCUUUGAUGAACUUCUAUUCCUGCAGAAAGAUGCAAGGAAUUACCUGGAUAGGCAACAUCUGGCUUACCCUUCUUUCCCCAAACUGAAAUUCAUGUUCUUAGGUUGAGAGUAACUUACUGAUUCAGUUGUUGAUUUUGAAGCUUGAAUCAUGUCGAUGUUUAUUUUCAUUGCAAGUGACUAUUUCAAAAUGAAGGAAUGAAUGUUUUUACCCUAGUAUCUUGAAAAUGAUUAAAAAAAUACAUUUGACUAACUAAAGUUUUUUUACUUACAUUUUAUUUUCCAACAUGUUAUAGUGAUCUCAGUAAGAUCUAGGAUUGGGACACUGACUUUGAGUCCAACUUUUGAUUUAUGUCAUAAUUGGUGCCCAUAUUCAUGUAGGUGGGAACUAAAUAUACAAUAUUACCCAUAGUCAGACAAAAUAUAGAUUUAGACAGAGCCUGGCUUACAGGUAGAAGAAUUGGAUGAGAAAUUGUGAUGGGCAUUUGGUGUUCAACUCACAGGUAGAGUACAGUGGAUGGGUUUAAUACUAUGAAAACAACUGGUCAGCUUCGUCAGCUCUAAGGACAGAAUGAAAGGCAGAGUGGCUUGGAUGACUCAUUCUGAGAGGAUGCCUAGUGAAGGGCUCUUUCACCUAUUGUGUGCCACAGACUUCUUUGUCAGUUUGAUGAAGACAUUGGACCUAUUCCAAGAUUAAUUACUUAAUGCAUAAAUUAAAAAUCCAGAAUUUAGACUUCCAUGUCUGGGAAGAUGAAAUAGAGUGCUUUUUCCUCUUUUUCCCACUAAGUUUAACUAAAAACCUUAGACAUUACAUGUACAACAAACAGAAGACUCUGAAAGUUGUAGAGAGGAGGGCAGAUAGGUUAGUAACCUUAAGACUGAUACAGUGGUGAGUUCCCAGGGUUUGUUAGUUUGUUGUAUCAUUCAUCUCAUACUUGUAGGUGAAGAAGCCAGCAACUUAAAAGCAACUUAAAAAUACCAACGGGUGGCCGGGCACGGUGGCUCAUGCUUGUAAUUUCAGCAUUUUGGGAGGCUGAGGUGGGUGGAUCACCUGAGGUCAGGAGUUCAAGACCAGCCUGGCCAACAUGGUGAAACCCCACUUCUACUAAUAAUACAAAAAUUAGGUGGGCAUGGUGGUGGACACCUGUAAUUCCAGCUACUCGGGAGGUUGAGGCAGGAGAAUUGCUUGAACCCAGGAGGCAGAGGUUGCAGUGAGCCAAGAUCGCGCCACCCACACUCCAGCCUGGGCUACGGUGCAAGACUCCACCCUGUACUCACCCUGUACAGGGUGGAGUCUGUAUCCACCUCUGUCUCCUGACAGAGCAAGACUCCACCCUCAAAACAAAUAAAACAAAACGAAACAAAAAACACCAACAGGUACAGAGAAAAACGAAACAAACAGCAGCACCACCAACAACAACAAAUAUACAAGUGUCUGCAAAAGUUGGCUCUCUCUAGCCAAAAUACCAGGAAAGGAGCAGACCAUAAAACAGGAAACUUUUAGCCAAUAACUAUUCUAGUUCAGCCAAACACCACAGAAAAUACUGUGGCCCAAUCUUCACCCUGGCCAGAAAAGACUGAAGGGAGUGGAAGGCCUAAACUUCCACUCUCACUAGGCAAUAAUGAAGUGCCUCAAGCUACCCUGUUGGGUAGGUGGAGUAAGGAGACUGGACCUCCGCCUGUGCCUGACAGUAACAAGGUAUCCCCGCCUCUCUACACUGAGGUUGUGUCCUCCCUAGUAGAGAGCCAGAACUCUCAACCACCACCCAGCAGUAACAAGGCCACUCCACUGUCAGUGGAAACAACAAGAGGAACAGCAAGGAGGCACUCCUAGCCCUCCCAGACAUAGGAUUAUCAGUUGGAACAGCCAACCCUGCCCAGCAAUAACAGAGCCAUUCCUUUCUUAGUGACAAUGGAGACCCAGCAGAGAAACUAGAUUUUUACCCUUACCUGGCAGUAAUGAGGCCCCCUCCUUGCUUCCAUGCUGAAGCACUGUCAGAAGAAGCCAACUAAAAUGGAAGGUUUGAAUAAGAGCCAAAGUCUCCAAACAUAAACCCCAAAAUGUAUAUGUUCCAGUCAAUCUUUAUACAGAGAACCAGAAAAAUCUCAACUGGAAUUUUUAAAAAAUCAAUAAUCAUCAAUAGUGAGAUGACAGAUAUGUUAAAUUAUUUGACAUAAUUUUUUAAAAACCAUUAUAAAAAUGCUUCAGUAAGCAAUUACUAACACAUUUGAAACAAAUGAAAAAAUGCAAGCUCAGCAAAGAGCUACAAACCUUUAGCAAAAAAAAAAAAAAAAAAAAAAAGAUGAUAAAAAAACACAAUAUCAAAGACAUGGAAUCAACCUAAAUGCCCAUCAAUGAUAGACUGGAUAAAGAAAAUGUGGUACAUAUGCACCAUGGAAUACUACACAGCCAUAAAAAAGAAUGAGAUCAUGUCCUUUGCAUGGACAUGAAUGGAGCUGGAGGCCAUUAUCCUUAGCAAACUGCCAUAGGAACAGAAAACCAAAUAUUACAUGUUUUUACCUAUAAGUGGGAGCUGAAUGAUGAGAACACAUGGACAUAGAGGGAAAGAACACACACUGGGGCCUUUCAGAGGGUGAAGGGUGGGAGGAGGGAGAGGAUCAGGAAAAAAUUACUAAUAAGUACUAGGCUUAAUACCUGGGUGAUGAAAUAAUUUGUACGACAAACCCCAUGACACAAGUUUACCUAUGUAACAAACCUGCACCUGUACCCUUGAUCUUAAAAUCAAAGUAAAAAAAAAAUAGAAAUUUUAGAACUGAAAGAUACAAUAACAAAAAUAAAUACAACUCAGCAAAUAAGCUCAACAUCAGAAUGGAAAGGAAUGGACAAUAUAGUGAAUGAUCUCAAUGAUAUAACAAUAAAAAUUACCCAAUCUGAGUAAGAGAGAACAUGACUUAAAAAAACAAAAACAAAAACAAAACAAAAAAAAACACAGAGCCUGAGAAACCUAUGGGGCUAGAUCUAAUAUUAAUGACAUUGGGGUUUGCAAACAAUAGGAUAUAAAGGGCAAGACUGAAAAAGUCUUCAAAGAAAUAGUGACUAUAAUUUCCCAAAUUUGGCAAAAGAAAUAAACCUAAAAAUUAAAGAAGCUAAUGUAAACCCCUAAGAGAUAUACCCAGAGAAAUUUAUAUCUAGGCACUUCACAGUAAAACUCCAGAAAACUAAAGGAAAAAAACUAUCUUGAAAGCAGUGAGAGAGAAAUGGUGCCUCAGCUAUAAAGAAAAAGAAAAUUGAAUGAUAGUAGAUUUCUCACCAGAAGAAAGUGAUGCAUUUUUCAAAUGCUAAAAGAACUCCCAAACCAGAAUUCAAUAUACAGCAAAACUAUCCUUUAGGAAUGAAGGGAAAAUCAUGCCAUUCUCAGAGGAGGGAAAGCUAAGUGAAUUUGUGACCUGUAGAUCUACCCUAAAAUAAUGGCUGAAGAAAUCUCACUAAACAGAAAGGAAAUUAUAAAAGAAGGACUUUUGGAACAUUAGGAGGGAAAAGGGAAUAAAGCAUAAAAAUAUGUGUGAAAGUAAUACAUUGUCCUUCACUUCUUGAGUUUUCAGAAUUAUAUUUGAUGGUUGAUGCAAUAUUUUAACACUUGCUGAUGUGAUUCUCAAUAUGAAUAGGAGAAAUAUUUAAGGCAGCUGGAUUAUAAAUGGUAAAGGGACAUAUAGGAAGGUAAAGUUGCUACCCUUCACUCACAAUAAAAUGUUGAUAAUGAUAGACUGUGACAAAUUAUGUUUAUAUUGUAAAUACAUUGAACUACCAAUAAAAAUUAUAUAUGAAGACAUGCAAUUGAAAAUACUAUAGACAAAAAUGAUAUCCAAGUAAAUAAUAUCCAAGUAACCCGUAGGAAAGUAAAGAGAUAGGGAGAGAUAGAAAUAAAAAACAGAGCAGACUGGGCGCGGUGGCUUACGCCUUUAAUCCCAGCACUUUGGGAGGCCAAGGCAGGCAGAUCACUUGAGGUCAGGAGUUUGAGACCAGCCUGGCCAACAUGGUGAAACCCCGUCUCUUCUAAAAAUACAAAAAUUAGCCAGGUGUGGUAGUGUGUGCCUGUAAUUCCAGCUACUCGGGAGGCUGAGGUGGGAGGAUCACUUGAACCCACGAGGGGGAGGUUGCAGUGAGCCGAGAUCAUCCUGCCACUGCCCUCAAGCCUGGGCAACAGAAUGGGACUUCAUCUCAAACAAACAAGAAAGAAAGAAAAAAAGAAAGAAA